GACGAACGCUGGCGGCGUGCUUAACACAUGCAAGUCGAACGGAAAGGCCCUGCUUUUGUGUGGUGCUCGAGUGGCGAACGGGUGAGUAACACGUGAGUAACCUGCCCUUGACUUUGGGAUAACUUCAGGAAACUGGGGCUACUACCGGAUAGGAGCUCCUGCUGCAUGGUGGGGGUUGGAAAGUUUCGGCGGUUGGGGAUGGACUCGCGGCUUAUCAGCUUGUUGGUGGGGUAGUGGCUUACCAAGGCUUUGACGGGUAGCCGGCCUGAGAGGGUGACCGGCCACAUUGGGACUGAGAGACGGCCCAGACUCCUACGGGAGGCAGCAGUGGGGAAUAUUGCACAAUGGGCGGAAGCCUGAUGCAGCAACGCCGCGUGCGGGAUGACGGCCUUCGGGUUGUAAACCGCUUUCGCCUGUGACGAAGCGUGAGUGACGGUAAUGGGUAAAGAAGCACCGGCUAACUACGUG
rnacentral:rRNA from 1 species